GACGAACGCUAGCGGCAGGCCUAAUACAUGCAAGUCGAACGGGAUCUGAGGGUAGCUUGCUUCCCGAUUUGAGAGUGGCGCACGGGUGCGUAACGCGUGAGCAACCUACCCAUAUCAGGGGGAUAGCCCGAAGAAAUUCGGAUUAACACCGCAUAAUAAUACGCUAACACAUGUUGAGGUAUUUAAAUAUUUAUAGGAUAUGGAUGGGCUCGCGUGACAUUAGCUAGUUGGUAAGGUAACGGCUUACCAAGGCGACGAUGUCUAGGGGCUCUGAGAGGAGAAUCCCCCACACUGGUACUGAGACACGGACCAGACUCCUACGGGAGGCAGCAGUAAGGAAUAUUGGUCAAUGGGCGCAAGCCUGAACCAGCCAUGCCGCGUGCAGGAUGACUGCCCUAUGGGUUGUAAACUGCUUUUGUUAGGGAAUAAACCUUCUUACGUGUAAGGAGCUGAAUGUACCUAAAGAAUAAGGAUCGGCUAACUCCGUGCCAGCCGCCGCGGUAACAC
rnacentral:rRNA from 1 species